rnacentral:lncRNA from 1 species
CCAUUCUCUUUAAUAGGAAGGAUUUUAAUAAUUACUCAGAAUACUUAACUACAUAACACUAAAAGAAGAGUACAGAACAAACCUGCAACAUUGGCAGAUCGCCCAAGGGGAAGUCUCGGAAAGCAGUAAUAUUUAAAAAGCUAACCUAAAACCAGAGAAAACAACUGAUUAGUUUAUCAUCCGGAUAGUGUAACAUGGAGCCAGGGAUAGGUAAUGCUAAGGUAAACCUCGUCUGCUCCAUCCUUGUAAUACUGUCCAGCAAGAUCCACUGGCUUGCCAAGAUUCCUCACCUUCAGGAAAGACGAUGUCCAAAUAAAGGAGCAAUUUUUGGAAGAUUAAAAUCAAGUACGAAAUCCACAUGGCUUUAGCAUAAGAGCCAUAAAUUCUAGAUGUCAAAGAACCAGAGUAUUCCAGAAUAGCUAUAUAGUACAUAGUGAGAUUACCGAUCAAAAUUGAUUAACCAAGUGGAUCAAGUACCUGACACCAAGAACCUUAAGAGGCUAUAAACCAUCUAGUUAACAUGCUUCGUCAUUAUUUUCUGUUGCUCCUUUUCUUUUCCUUUAGACAACUUACAAGUACGAGCAUGAACCCUUAUCUCACUAUGCCACCAGGUCUGCUAGCCGAAAAACUUACAGCUUUUUGGCUUCCAUUUUCUAACCUCAGAGGCAAUAGACUAGACAAACAAAUAAGAAUUAGAAAUUCUUUUUCCUUUCUGUUAGCCGAAGAAUAACAGGCUGAUGGAAAUAGACUGACUACCGGAGAUAUUCGUGUUACUUCGUCUGCACUGGUUUGUACACGAAUGCGUGAGUUAUACCGAAUACUCAGUAAAUUAUAGACCACUUCAAAUCUUUGUUUUCGAGAGGGAUAAUCAACUCCGCAAAUAUCGAUCGAAACUUGAACCCUUGUAUAGGUAUGCAAUUUCAGAAAGCACAACAAUUGAAAUAGGUAGUCCGUA